GAUGAAGAACGCAGUGAAAUGCGAUAAGUAAUGUGAAUUGCAGAAUUCAGUGAAUCAUCGAAUCUUUGAACGUACAUUGCGCCCGCCAGUAUUCUGGCGGGCAUGCCUGUUCGAGCGUCAUUUCAACCAUCAAGCCCCAGGCUUGUGUUGGGGGCCUGCAGCUGCUGCAGCCCCCUAAAAGCAGUGGCGGACUCGCUGUCAUACCGAGCGCAGUAGUUACAUCUCGCUCUGGGCAUGGCGGCGGGCACCUGCCGUAAAACACUCUUUCUAAGGUUGACCUCGGAUCAUGUAGGAAUACCCGCUGAACUUAAGCAUAUCAAUAAGCGGAGGA
rnacentral:misc_RNA from 1 species